ACUCAGUGGUCUAGAGGUUAAGAGUUUACUCGGAAGAUUGAAGGUCCAGGGUUCGAGUCCCUGUCUCGGAAUCG
rnacentral:tRNA from 1 species